rnacentral:rRNA from 1 species
AUUGAACGCUGGCGGCAUGCCUUACACAUGCAAGUCGAACGGCAGCACGGGAGCAAUCCUGGUGGCGAGUGGCGAACAGGUGAGUAAUGUAUCGGAACGUGCCCAGUCGUGGGGGAUAACGUAGCGAAAGCUACGCUAAUACCGCAUACGAUCUAUGGAUGAAAGCGGGGGAUCGCAAGACCUCGCGCGAUUGGAGCGGCCGAUAUCAGAUUAGGUAGUUGGUGGGGUAAAGGCUCACCAAGCCGACGAUCUGUAGCUGGUCUGAGAGGACGACCAGCCACACUGGGACUGAGACACGGCCCAGACUCCUACGGGAGGUAGGAGUGGGGAAUUUUGGACAAUGGGCGCAAGCCUGAUCCAGCAAUGCCACGUGCAGGAUGAAGGCCUUCGGGUUGUAAACUGCUUUUGUACGGAACGAAACGGCGAGCUCUAAUACAGUUUGCUAAUGACGGUACCGUAAGAAUAAGCACCGGCUAACUACGUGCCAGCCGCCGCAGUAA